rnacentral:lncRNA from 1 species
UCGACGUAUUUUUUAUUAUGUUUGAGAUGAUUUAUACUUUCAAUGAACUUUUAUAAUUGAUGCAUAUCAGAAGGCCCACAAAAUUUAUCAGAAGGCCCACAAAAAAAUGAACCAGAUGCAUAUCAAAAGGCCCACAAAAUUUAUCAACAAUGUCACAUUACACAAACAAUUGUCGAACCACGAAUUCAGCGAAAAGAGUGCCACUCAAGAUAGCACGCCACACAGAACAAACAAGAACAGAGAAACAAAUUAUCAGCUGAUUGCCACAAAAUUUCAGCAUCCCAUGUUCAAUAUUUACAAGAGGCAGAACUCACCCCAACUAAUUGCACCGCGUUAACAGUAGCCUCAAGUUAUCUUGACUUCCCAUGACUACCCACCUACUAUUUACAAAAGUUGACAUGACUACCUAUCUGCCUACUAUUUACAAAAGUUGCCAUGACUACCUAUCUGCCUACUAUUUACAAAAGUUGCCAUGACUACCUAUCUAGCUACUAUUCACAGUUUUUCCAUGUCAAAGAAACAUUGGUCAUAUCUAAGAAUGUGCAUGGCUAAGGAAUGAAUGACAGCAGAUGUUGAGAUGAUGAAUGGGAAGAAGAGUCAGGUACUGAUCCUAUUUCUAGAUUAUAGGUAAUUCUAGGGCCAUUGCUAAGAUACAGAUAUAUAUAUAUAUAUAUAUAUAUAUAUAUAUAUAUAUAUAUAUAUAUAUAUAUANNNNNNNNNNNNNNNNNNNNNNNNNNNNNNNNNNNNNNNNNNNNNNNNNNNNNNNNNNNNNNNNNNNNNNNNNNNNNNNNNNNNNNAAAUUUUUAGGUAGUAUGUAUCCUUUUUUGAGCAGGUUCUUUUUUACGUACAAAUAUGUAUGUAUUUCACAAAUAUAACAAAAACUAUGGGCUCAUAUGCAAUUUUUUCAUGUAACUUGUUUUGGAAUAUCUUAGAUAUAAUAUAUGAACAUAUUAAAAAUAAUAAAAUAGUAUAUAUAGUAUCAUAUGCUAGUAUAUGAAACAUGUGGGGUAACUACCACCGGGUGGUAGGAUGGAUUUUCCCUAUAUAUAUAUAUAUAUAUAUAUAUAUAUAUACUUGAAAAGGACAACAAGAGUUUCACUUGGUAAUGAUGAAUGAAACAGAUUUCUUAAAAUUGAAGUACUAGAGAACUCCUAAGAUAUCCAAGGAUGGUAUUGCCACCAUGCAAACACUGAAAAAAAACGUGUACUGAUGUUCUGAUUGAAUACUAUCAAUCACGGCGACUGGCAAAAGAGUAUAAUAAGGAUAAUGUUGAAGUUUAUCAUAGAAGGACAACAAGAAUUUUAGUUGGUAACGAUGAAACAAAUUUCAAAAGAUUGCUCAACAGUGAAGUAUUACUCAUCCUUAGGUAUCUAAGGAUGAUAUCACCACCAUGCGCAACACUGCAAAAAAAACAUGGGCGGCAUGUUCUGAUUAAAGGCAAUCUGGCAAAGGAGUAUAAGGGCCCUUUCCCUUACUGGCAAAGGAGAGAAUCAGCUAUCAGAGCUGACAUACAGAACAAACAAGAACAGAGCAAUCAUCAUCUGAAUGCCAAAAAAUCUCAGCAUUCCUGUUCUCUAUUUACGAAUUCACCUAAUGGCAGCUUGUGAGCAGUAGCCACAGGAUAACAAGCGAUACCUCAAGCAGUUGGAACUCAUAAGAAGAAAUUAUUUAUAGAGUGGCCAUGACAACCCACCCUACCUAAUAUUCACAGUUGGUGUCCAAGAGAUGUAACCAAUCUAGGAACAUACAUGGCCAAGGAAUGACAGUGAUGAAUGGGAAGAGGAGUCAUGUACUCAACCUACUUCUAGAUUAUACAUAAUUUUCAGGCCAUUACUCAACCAACACUUACAGACAAGGGCAAGAAUUUUACUUAGUAUUGAUUGAUGAAACAGAUUUCAGCAUUACCGACCUAGUUGAUGCAAAGAAACAUAAUCAUAUCUAAGAAAAUAUCCACCUAAGGAAUGACCGAAGAAGUUGAGAUGAUGAUUGGGAAGAGGAGUCAAGUACAGAACCUAUUUUAAAUUAGUAUACACAAUUUUAGAGUAUUUGAAAAGAACAGGAAGAAAUUUACUUAGUCACGAUGAAACAGAUUUCUUAAAAUUGCAGUAUUAGAUUAGUCAUUCGAUAUCUAAGGACGAUGUAGCAGCCACCAUGCAGAACACUGAAAAAACGUGUACCGCAUGUUCUGACUGAAGACUGUCAAUCAUGGUAAGCAGCAAAAGAGUACAAGAACGAUGAUGUUGAAGUCUAUCAUGAAAAAGGACGAGAAGAAUUCUACAUGGUAAUGGUGUAACAGAUUUCUUCAAAAACAAAGUGUUAGAACGUGUGCUGCAUGUUCUGUUUGAAGUGGCAAAAGAGUGUUAAGGGCCCCUCCCGUACUGGCAAGCGAAUGAAUCAGCUAUCAGCGCUGACAGCAUAAAGAAUUGGUUAUGAAUAAGCAGAGAUUGAGGCACUCAUCGAGAUUAGAUAGGAAUAUCUGAACAUGCGAUUAAACACGAACAAGUCCACACAAGUCAUGGUUGAGAAUCUGAGGAAGAUAGAGAGAUAAAGCAUGAGGUUUAUUGGAGAGUUGAAGGGAUGGAGAGCACUGUUUUGAUCUAAGGAUAUUACGGGAUGGCAAGAGUCCGAUAGAGCUGACUGAAGUGUCCCCAUAUAUCCUUUCAAACUACAGCCGGAAGUACGUCCUUAAGUAGACAUUAUGAAAGCUUUGAUCAAAUUCUCUGCCGACUGCGUCUGCUCAGGGGUGCCAAAUAUGUGAGCAACAUGCUCAUGAUGAGAUGAUUUUGAUUCAAUAAUUUCAAUGUCAGCUCCAGAAAUC